rnacentral:misc_RNA from 1 species
UGCUGGUUUAAAAGGAAAGCU